UACGAAGGGUGCUAGCGUUGUUCGGAAUCACUGGGCGUAAAGCGCGCGUAGGCGGCGAUGCAAGUCAGAGGUGAAAUCCCCAGGCUCAACCUGGGAAUUGCCUUUGAAACUGCAUUGCUUGAGUGUCGGAGGGGAUAGCGGAAUUGCUAAUGUAGAGGUGAAAUUCGUAGAUAUUAGCAGGAACACCGGUGGCGAAGGCGGCUAUCUGGACGACAACUGACGCUGAGGCGCGAAAGUGUGGGGAUCAAACAGG
rnacentral:rRNA from 1 species